UAAGUGUACCCGGUCCCCGUUGCCAUGAAAAGUUGCACCAGCUGCUAUCUGCAGAAGGAGCUGCUUCUAGAGGGACGGAACUAGAUAAGGCCUUUGCUACUUUGACAAGCUUAUCCUCAAUAGGAGUCAGCAGAGCAUUGCAGCAUGGUUUUUCGAAAGCCUCCGCCCCCACGCGUUGCUGCUUAUUCGUUGGCGGGCGGCUUUGCCAUUGGUGCAGCCUGUAGCAGCCGUGCACGUUAGUCUGAGCAUAGCCUCAAAGCAAUGGGUAGGGUAAAGGUCUGUGUAGCUUCGGGCCAAAGAACAAGUCCCAACAUGUUCCACUAUCGCUGCACGUCCCCCCCCCCCGCCCCUUUCCAUAAUAGUGUUGCCCCGCCUCCAAUCUGCUCCUGAUGAAAACUUUGUAGAGCACUUUCGUUCUUCUUCCCGCCUAGAAGCACUUAGGAGUUUUUCCGGCGCUCGUCAUCCUGCAGCUCUGCUGGAGUCAGUGGUUUUGUAACAUGCUGUGCGUUUCUCUAGUGGAGGAGGGUAGUGUCAAGCUGGGGCAUUCCGAAGAGGGAACCCUCAAAAGGAGAACUGUACUUAAAGAGCAUCUCUGAAAGUUGACUUCCUAAUAAAAAGGGCCCAGCAGGGUUGCUUAUAAAACAAACAGGCUUUUUAGAAGGUCUUGUCUCUCCUCUUCAUCAGUCUGUUGUUCGAUUAUUCUGUUCCUGAGAAGAAAGCCUUGCUGCUACUGCAGAGAUUUGCCAGCACGAGUUGCCAAAUCACAGUUUCUGAGGAUCCAGCCAGCCAAACACCUGCAUCCUUGCUCCCCUCCUUUUCCAUUCCUUGAACUGAAAUCACUGGGCUACUGAGCCCCAAGUCGGAAUUCUGGAUUGGGGGGUCCAGAAUUGCUAAGCUGCUGAAUCACUACUUUGAGUGUGCCUUGUGUGGGACAGCUAUUGUACUGCUCUGCUCUCUCUCAGAAAGCUGAGUCAUUAGGACUUCUGAAGAUCCUGCUUGUGGUUUGACUGCCUGAAAUCUCCAAGACUUGCUGAGUGGAAAACUUAGAAUCCCUGAGCAGAACUCCCAGAUAGAAAUCUUUUGAGGCUGAGCCUUUCCCAAAGCGCACCUGCCACGGGCUAACUGCUUGACUGCCUGGGAACCUUAGUGCUCCCCUUAUUCUCUGUGGGCUUAUGUAGAACCACAUACUUGGCUGCUUUGCCUGCACCUGGCUGCCUGUCCUUGCCCUCCACCAUCAGGAUCUCACAUGCAAUUCCAAAUUUUUUUCCUUCUUUGCAUGUGGUAAAGACUCCUUUGGCAUCGCACAUGAGACAGCAGACUAAGGAAAAGUAACUGCAUUUUCUCCCCUCUCUCAAUAUGUACUUUUAUUCCUCUCUUCUUCUCAUCCUCUUUUUGUUCUCAUAACUGUCACUUCCCUGCUCCCCUCACUCUUAGUAUAGUCUCAGAGAAUAGUUUGAAUUCUUCAUGCUAGCUAGGUUGCCAAAUAUUUCUGUUCGCAUUUGCUUCUGUUAUAUUAAUAAACUUUAUU